CCUACGGGGGGCAGCAGUGAGGAAUAUUGGUCAAUGGACGCAAGUCUGAACCAGCCACGUCGCGUGAAGGAAGACGGCCCUACGGGUUGUAAACUUCUUUUAUACGGGAAUAAAGUGCCCCACGCGUGGGGUUUUGCAUGUACCGUAUGAAUAAGGAUCGGCUAACUCCGUGCCAGCAGCCGCGGUAAUACGGAGGAUCCGAGCGUUAUCCGGAUUUAUUGGGUUUAAAGGGUGCUCAGGCGGGGGAUUAAGUCAGCGGUGAAAUUUUGCAGCUCAACUGUAAAAGUGCCUUCGAAACUGGUUUCCUUGAGUGUGGAUGAGGUAGGCGGAAUUUGUGGUGUAGCGGUGAAAUGCAUAGAUAUCACGAGGAACUCCGAUUGCGCAGGCAGCUUACUAAACUACUACUGACGCUCAGGCACGAAGGCGUGGGGAUCAAACAGGAUUAGAUACCCUGGUAGUCCACGCAGUAAACGAUGAUUACUAGCUGUUUGCGAUACAAUGUAAGCGGCUGAGCGAAAGCGUUAAGUAAUCCACCUGGGGAGUACGUUCGCAAGAAUGAAACUCAAAGGAAUUGACGGGGGCCCGCACAAGCGGAGGAACAUGUGGUUUAAUUCGAUGAUACGCGAGGAACCUUACCCGGGCUUGAAAUGCAUCUGACCGGCCUUGAAAGAGGCUUUCCCUUCGGGGCAGAUGUGUAGGUGCUGCAUGGUUGUCGUCAGCUCGUGCCGUGAGGUGUCGGCUUAAGUGCCAUAACGAGCGCAACCCUCAUCAUUAGUUACCAUCAGGUCAAGCUGGGGGACUCUAAUGAGACUGCCAUCGUAAGAUGUGAGGAAGGUGGGGGAUGACGUCAAAUCAGCACGGCCC
rnacentral:rRNA from 1 species